rnacentral:rRNA from 1 species
AACGAACGCUGGCGGCAUGCCUAACACAUGCAAGUCGAACGAAGCCUUCGGGCUUAGUGGCGCACGGGUGCGUAACGCGUGGGAAUCUGCCCUUGGGUUCGGAUAACAGUUAGAAAUGACUGCUAAUACCGAAUGAUGUCUUCGGACCAAAGAUUUAUCGCCCAAGGAUGAGCCCGCGUCGGAUUAGCUAGUUGGUGAGGUAAAGGCUCACCAAGGGCGACGAUCCGUAGCUGGUCUGAGAGGAUGAUCAGCCACACUGGGACUGAGACACGGCCCAGACUCCUACGGGAGGCAGCAGUGGGGAAUAUUGGACAAUGGGCGAAAGCCUGAUCCAGCAAUGCCGCGUGAGUGAUGAAGGCCUUAGGGUUGUAAAGCUCUUUUACCCGGGAUGAUAAUGACAGUACCGGGAGAAUAAGCCCCCGGCUAACUCCGUGCCAGCAGCCGCGGUAAU